AAAGUGCGGGUAUCAAACAGGAUUAGAUACCUUGGUAGUCCGCACGGUAAACGAUGGAAUGCCCGUUCUGCGGCCUUCGGGCCGCGGGACCAAGCGAAAGCAUUAAAGCAUCCCACCUGGGGAGUACGCCGGCAACGGUGAAACUCAAAGGAAUUGACGGGGGCCCGCACAAGCGGAGGAACAUGUGGUUUAAUUCGAUGAUACGCGAGGAACCUUACCCGGGCUUGAAUUGCAGACUAAUGCGGCGGAGACGCCGCAGUCCUUCGGGAAGUCUGUGAAGGUGCUGCAUGGUUGUCGUCAGCUCGUGCCGUGAGGUGUCGGCUCAAGUGCCAUAACGAGCGCAACCCCUGUCUCCUGUUGCCAUCAGGUAAAGCUGGGCACACUGGAGAGACUGCCGCCGUAAGGUGCGAGGAAGGUGGGGAUGACGUCAAAUCAGCACGGCCCUUACGUCCGGGGCUACACACGUGUUACAAUGGCCGGUACAGAAGGAUGGUGCCCCGCAAGGUGCAUCGAACCUGAAAAACCGGUCCCAGUUCGGACUGGGGUCUGCAACCCGACCCCACGAAGCUGGAUUCGCUAGUAAUCGCGCAUCAGCCAUGACGCGGUGAAUACGUUCCCGGGCCUUGUACACACCGCCCGUCAAGCCAUGAAAGCCGGGAGUGCCUGAAGUCCGUGACCGCGAGGAUCGGCCUAGGGCAAAAUCGGUAAUUGGG
rnacentral:rRNA from 1 species